UAGCUCAAUUGGUAGAGCAUUGUGCAAAAGCACAAAAGAUGUGGGUUCGAAUCCCACGUGGGUUUGUUUACUUUUGAGUUUUCUUUAUUUACUUUUGAGUCUAUAUUGUUUACUUUUUGAGUUUAUAUUGUUUAUUUCUUAGAUUUUAAUUGAAAAACCUUUACUUUAACCUAUAUACUCCAAUAAUCGGAGUUUUCUAGUUUUAUACUCCCUCCGUUCCUAAAUAAGUGUCACAUUUCCUUUUUUGGUGUUCCCUUAUAAGUGUCACAUUUCUAUUUUUGAACAUAUACUUUUCCCACUUUUUCAUACAAUUUUCACACUUUUCCAUACACUUUUCCCACUUUUCUAUAAAUCAUAAUUACUUUUACUUGCACAUUCUACACUUUUCCACUUUUCAAUCCCCACAUCCACUUUUAUUUGUACUUUAUUCAAUUAAACAAUUAUCUACUUUAUCCUUUCCCCAAAAAAAACAUUCCUAAUCAUUAACUCUUACACACUUUACAAUUUUAUUAAUUACCGCGCCGGAGCCCAAAUGUGACACUUAUUUAGGAACGGAGGGAGUAUUAUUUUUAUUUACUUUUUGUAUUGUUUUUAUUUACUUUUAAUUUGUUCUUGUUUAGUUAAAUUGCAUUCUUCCUGAUGGUUAAAUUGCGUUGUCAUCCUUAAGUAACAUCCAAAGUCGAUUUCGAAUCCCAUGUAGGUCAGUAUAGGGUGAUAUGCUGCCAAUUGCAUGUCAGUUGAGGCUAGCUUCAGAAACCGUUAAGCAGCUGUCUCGGGCCUCUCUGCAGUCUAACACCUUGACCGUAUGUCUGGUGCCAAAGGCGCUUCCCUGUUCUUUCGAUCUCACCCUCUUGACUCUUGAGGAUGACUUCAUGAUAGAGGACGACUAUCAUGAAAUCGAUCAUGCUUCUGAUUUCUAAAAAUGGUCCUGGAUCUGAGAAAAACCAGAAUCACGCUAAGGUAAAUAAGAAGCAAAGUCCAAAAGUGGUAAAAAAAAAAUGGUUGACAUUGUUGAUAAAAUAGUUGAGGCAUUCUGUAAAAUAAAUAGCAUUUACUUUCGAACUAUUUUGAUUUACUUUUUUGGGCUUUUGCUUUACUUUUGUUGACUCUAUUUAAAAACACUAGCCUAAUAGCUCAACCGGCAGAGCAUUGGGCAAAUGCACAAAAAGAUGUGGGUUCGAAUCCACGUAAGUUAAUCUUUACUUUUUGUAUUGUUUGUUUAUUUUUAGUUUGAAAACCUUCACUUUGGCCUCAAUGUACUUCUGUACUCGGAGUUUCUAUGUUGUACAAACACUUUUGAGUUAUUUUUAUAAUUUACUUUUGAGAUUUUAUAAUUUA